GCGGACAUAGCUCAGUUGGGAGAGCGUCAGACUGAAGCGGACUCGCUUCCGGGAAACUUCAUUCAAUCAAUCUGAAGGUCGUGUGUUCAAUCCACACUGGCCGCA
rfam:Colletotrichum incanum strain MAFF 238704 contig2974, whole genome shotgun sequence.